AUCCAUCCAUUCCUCCCUGCCGCCAUUACCUCCACCUGGUCUCCCUCUCCCUCAGGAUCUUCCCAGAUCUACCUCACAGCCAGCCGACCAGCCUCCUUCCUCCUAGGAUCAGCCGCAGCCGCCACCCAUCAAAUCCAUCCACCCAUUUGCCAGAUCCACCUCAUUUUGCCCAUCCACCCAACUAGCAGCCUCCACCUCUCCUCCUGAUUCUCCUCCAUCGAUCCAACCAGUGAGGCCGCCGGUAGCAGCAGCUGCACCCUCGCGCUCCCAUUCCUCCUCCUCCGGACCUCCCUCGACGCCGAGCACUAGCAGGAACUGCUCGUCGAGCCCCUUGUUUUCCUUUCUCUUUCAUUCCCUUGUUUUUGCUCUUCUCUGAGUGUGUUUUCUCCCUCUCUCUCAUGCACAUGAGACCUUUAGGAGCCAGGGAAGCCAUGGCCUGACCUCGACCCCACCGCUGCCGCCUCUCACCCGCGCAACCUCGUCGCAAAACGGAGCCCCGACGACCCUCCGAUGAGCCACCACCCGGAUCCACCCAGUGCCAUCUUCUUUUCCUUCCGGAGCUCCUCCCGUACGUCUCAUCCCUCUCCUUUGUUCUCUGUAACAGCUCCAUGGCCGCCGGAUUCUCAAGCGGCCACCAGGAACCGCUCCUUCGCCAUGCGUUCCUCGCCACCAACCGAAGCUCCGACGGGCUCUCGCUGGACCUCGAUCAGGACCUCGCCGUCGAUGCCCCAUUCUUCUCUUCUCUCCUCCCGCUUGCCUUUCAGUGAGCUUCUCUGACCCUGCUGCGACGCCCUCUACAGGUCGACAUCUCCGCCUUGGAUCUGCCCCAAGCUCCGCCAUUCCCGCAGCAGACCCGGGACCCAUGGACCCGCAGCUCCACCGGCUACUUCGACGGAGUCCCCAUUGCCGGCCCCUGCUUCCACUGCAUUGGGAAGCUGCAGCUCGGGCAGAGAACAACGCCUCUGUCUCGAGUCAUUUGGUCGCUUGCCUGCGCCUGAACCACGCCCCCCUUCGCCCGUUCAUGGGCCUAGCAGCCCCGCUUCAGCCUAGCUCCUCUUCCGCCCGAGCUGCCCGGCCUCUCCACCGACCUAGGCUUGGCCCAUGCAUCCCAAGGCCAUCCCCAUGGACCCAACUACAUCUCCUUCAACACCUCUUGGACCCAUGACACAAGCAUGUGCAAGAGCUCUUGAAACCGAGGUGACAUCUCUCCUCUCACAUUUCCACUUUGAUGCACACGAGACAUGGCUAUUACCUCAUACGGAUACUUUGUGCAUGCUCAGGUACCAUGGAGAAGCUAAGGAGCAAGGAGAAGAAGAAGAGGAAGAUGGACAUGAAGACGAAGACGAAGAAGAAGAAUCACUCCAAGUUCCCAGGCUCCGGACGACCGACGGACACCGGACGUCCGACGACCUCGAGGCCCCGGACAUCCGGCCCCCUCCGGACGACCGACGCUCCCACACCUGAGACGAAACCUACGGAUUUCCAGAGCCCCUCGGACGAAUGACGACGCCUGGACGUUCGACCCCGACCGGACGUCCGACCGAAAACCACCCGAGCCGAAACUACGGACGUCCGACAGGCACCAGACGUCCGGACCCUCGCGAGCCUCCGGACGACCAGUUACCCCCGGACAUCCGACGCAUGUGUGCUGAUUCGUGUUGGGCGGCAGCCCAUGUACCCCAUCACCCCGUCUUUUGCAUUAAGACUAUAUAUACUCCACCUAUUCCUUCUUUCUAGGGUUAGCAAAGGAUUAGCUCA